CACAGAGGUCUCAAGCGUUGUUCGGAUUCAUUGGGCGUAAAGGGUGCGUAGGCGGCGCGGUAAGUCGGGUGUGAAAUCUCGGAGCUUAACUCCGAAACUGCAUUCGAUACUGCCGUGCUUGAGGACUGGAGAGGAGACUGGAAUUUACGGUGUAGCGGUGAAAUGCGUAGAUAUCGUAAGGAAGACCAGUGGCGAAGGCGGGUCUCUGGACAGUUCCUGACGCUGAGGCACGAAGGUCAGGGGAGCAAACGGG
rnacentral:rRNA from 1 species